AUUGAACGCUGGCGGCAUGCCUUACACAUGCUAGUCGAACGGCAGCACGGGAGCAAUCAUGGUGGCGAGUGGCGAACGGGUGAGUAAUAUAUCGGAACGUGCCCAGUCGGGGGGGAUAACGUAGCGAAAGCUACGCUAAUACCGCAUACGAUCUACGGAUGAAAGCGGGGGAUCGCAAGACCUCGCGCGAUUGGAGCGGCCGAUAUCAGAUUAGGUAGUUGGUGAGGUAAAGGCUCACCAAGCCGACGAUCUGUAGCUGGUCUGAGAGGACGACCAGCCACACUGGGACUGAGACACGGCCCAGACUCCUACGGGAGGCAGCAGUGGGGAAUUUUGGACAAUGGGCGCAAGCCUGAUCCAGCAAUGCCGCGUGCAGGAUGAAGGCCUUCGGGUUGUAAACUGCUUUUGUACGGAACGAAACGGCGAGCUCUAAUACAGUUUGCUAAUGACGGUACCGUAAGAAUAAGCACCGGCUAACUACGUGCCAGCCGCCGCCGUAA
rnacentral:rRNA from 1 species